rnacentral:rRNA from 1 species
UACGUAGGUGGCAAGCGAUACUCGGAAUCACUAGGCGUAAAGCGCAGGUAGGCGGUUUGGUAAGUCUGUUGUGAAAGCUCCCGGCUCAACUGGGAGAGGUCAACGGAAACUACUAGGCUAGAGUGCGGUAGAGGUAGCUGGAAUUCCCGGUGUAGCGGUGAAAUGCGUAGAUAUCGGGAGGAAUACCUAUGGCGAAAGCAGGCUACUGGACCGUCACUGACUCUGAUCUGCGAAAGCUAGGGGAGCAAACAGG